rnacentral:sRNA from 1 species
AUUAACUUUAGUUAACAUGCAGUAACCUGAAUGCUGAUGAAAUGACUUACCGUUCAUCUUACACUUGUCCUAUGUUUUUAGGGAAACCUGAAGUCAUACAUUUCUCCUUUACCGAACCUGUGAAAGCAGAUUCGUUGUUAUACGCAAUGAAAACCCCAAUCAUUGCGUAUUUUUUUUGCCUAAAAUUCUG